rnacentral:tRNA from 1 species
ACAUGGCUGCCUCAGUCAGAAGAGCAUGAGACUCUUGAUCUCAGGGUUGUGAGUUCAAGUCCCUCGUCGGGUA